UAGAGGAGAGUUGUGUCGACAACUCUCUGAAGGUAUUUUCCCAAAAACAUUAUACACAAUUAUAUAGAAACUAUCUUGCAAGGAAAUCCUAACAUAUAUGGGCCUACAACAUCACACUACAUUGGGCUUAGACUUGGACUUGUGUUCAAUACUACCCCGCAAACUUAGCGUAAAGUGCGAAGCUAAGUUUGGAAACAUAAGUGCAGCCGCAUGAACAGAGGAAAGAGAGCUCGAAGCAAGUUGUCUGAAGUAGUCAAUUACCUCACUCCACCAUAAAAUCAGUCAUUAGUGUGAGAUCUAUUCAGGUCUAUCUUUGUAGCCUAUUUAUCUCACGAAGAGUCCGGAUUUUCUUUACCUCGUUUAACUCUCCUAAGCUGUCUCAUAAUGAAGGUGAGUCUUCUUCCACAUCUAACGACACACUAAUCACUCUCAGCCUCGUAUCAAGAACUACAACACUAUGCUAACUCACUGCUACUAAUCAUUCUGUCUUCCUCUUUGGCAUAUCAUCGAACACCUUAUGUGCGCUCACCAAACCGAAAACUUUCAGCCAUAAUCCAAUCUUUAUAAGACCCAAUCCUAGCUUCAACGUUCCAUACACAAGUCUUCGGAUUUGACACGCAGACCUUCUCCUCUCGCUCACUCUCUGACUUCUUUAGUUUCAUUUCUCUUUGGAUUUGAGGAAGACCAGCGGAGCUUUUGGCGGAGCUUUUGGCGGAGCUUUUGAAAAAGACGAAGUCUUGGAUACAGCAGCAGUGGUGUAUGAGAAAGGCCAUAAACUGGUUGAAUAAGAAAUCUAUAAAUCCCAUAGAACGACUGAAGCUCUGAUACCAUGUAGGAUAAUUCAAGCAAGGAUUAUUCAUGCUCUGAAGGAGCUUAAUAAGAUAAAUAAAAGAUAGAGAAAAUUAAAUAGCUCACUGAGCUUUAUUGAAUGCAAGGAAAGUAAAGAUGAGAAAACUUUAUUUAGAAUACCAAGAUUAAUAAAGUUUUGGAUUGAUAUCAUAAAUUUAGAAGAGGAGAGUUGUGUCGACAAC
rnacentral:lncRNA from 1 species